UCUACUGCUCCACUCACGUUCUAGGCACCUAUGUCUCAGCUAAAUGUAGCCGCAUCCGGGACACAGUUUGUGCCACAUGUGCCGAGAAUUCCUACAACGAGCACUGGAACUACCUGACCAUCUGCCAGCUGUGCCGCCCCUGUGACCCAGUGAUGGGCCUCGAGGAGAUUGCCCCCUGCACAAGCAAACGGAAGACCCAGUGCCGCUGCCAGCCGGGAAUGUUCUGUGCUGCCUGGGCCCUCGAGUGUACACACUGCGAGCUACUUUCUGACUGCCCGCCUGGCACUGAAGCCGAGCUCAAAGGUCAGAGGUCCCUGAGGGGCUGGAUGUGAAAAGGAGGCUGGGUGCCAGGGAUCUCAAGUGGGAGCAGGGAAUAUGG
rnacentral:lncRNA from 1 species